ensembl:lncRNA
AACUAACCAAAAUCCAACGUCGAGCCAACGUCUCAAGCCAACGUCACAUUGACAUCAAAUACUGAUGUUUUGUCGUCAGGUAUGGCAACCAAAAUCCAACAUCUUGUAGACGUCAUUAUGGUAACGUCCGAUCAACGUCAAGUUAUAACAUCAUUUGAUGUUGAUCUGUAGUUAGUUUUAGGUUGUGGCAUUAACUAACCAAAAUCCAACAUCAAGACAACGUCUCAAGCCAACGUCAGAUUGACAUCAAAUACUGAUGUUUAGUCGUCAGGUAUGGCAACCAAAAUCCAAUGUCUUCAAGACGUCAUAAUGGUAACGUCCAAUCAACGUCAAAUUAUAACGUCAUUUGACUUUGAUCUUUAGUUUGUUUUUAGGUUGUGACAUUAACUAACCUAAACCCAACGUCGAGCCAACGUCUCAGGCCAACGUCACAUUGACAUCAAAUACUGAUAUUUAGUCGUCAG